rnacentral:rRNA from 1 species
UACGGGGGGGGCAAGCGUUGUUCGGAAUUACUGGGCGUAAAGGGCUCGUAGGUGGCCAACUAAGUCAGACGUGAAAUCCCUCGGCUUAACCGGGGAACUGCGUCCGAUACUGGAUGGCUUGAAUCCGGGAGAGGGAUGUGGAAUUCCAGGUGUAGCGGUGAAAUGCGUAGAUAUCUGGAGGAACACCGGUGGCGAAGGCGACAUCCUGGACCGGUAUUGACGCUGAGGCGCGAAAGCCAGGGGAGCAAACGGG